GGAAGAAACAUCUGGGUGCUGAGUGUGCUUAACUGCUGGCGGGGUUUUGGUUGGUUGUACCUAAAUUGGUGAACGAAACGAAUAACCUGAAUCCAGGGGGCAGUGGAGACGCUUCAAGGUUUGGAGAAGACCUGAGGAACCUGUAGGUAAGCUCAAGCCCCACGCUGGCCAACUCCCCUGAAAGCACACCCAACAGCGGCAAACUCCACCCCACACCCUGCGCUUCAUUUUCUGCCCCACAACUCUGCCUGCUUCCUUGGAGGCUAGAAGGUUCUAAUACCACUGUUGCACAGGGCCCAAGAGGCUGGAGUCUUACCAUUUAGCUGCUGGUCACUGACUGUACAGCCUUCAGAGAAGGCAGUGCAUGCUUCUUUUUCAAUUUUUUAGCCUGUGUAUAAACGCUCCUUU